rnacentral:rRNA from 1 species
AAUCAAGCGCGAGAAGGGCGUUUGGUGGAUGCCUUGGCAGUAAGAGGCGAUGAAGGACGUGAUACUCUGCGAUAAGCGAUGGGGAGCCGAGAAUAGGCUUUGAUCCAUCGAUCUCCGAAUGGGGCAACCCACCUGAAACUGUGUUAUUUAUCCUUCCGGUCGAGCGAUUGGGGCAAGUCCUCAAGUAGCGAAGCGGUAGGACAAAAUAAUGCAGUUAGCCAGGUACUUCUAACCUGAAUACAUAGGGUUAAAAGAGCAAACCCGGGGAACUGAAACAUCUAAGUACCCGGAGGAAAGGAAAUCAAUUGAUACUCCCCUAGUAGUGGCGAGCGAACGGGGACCAGCCGAGCCGUGAAUGUGAAUAGAAUGGUCUGGAAAGACCAACCAUAGUGGGUGACAGUCCCGUAUAUGAAGCAUGAUCGGACGUAUUAAGUAGGGCGGGACACGUGAAAUCCUGUCUGAAGAUCGGGGGACCACCCUCGAAGGCUAAGUACUCCUUACUGACCGAUAGCGAACCAGUACCGUGAGGGAAAGGUGAAAAGCACCCCGACGAGGGGAGUGAAACAGUACCUGAAACCGAGCGCCUACAAUCAGUCGGAGCUUGACUGGACUCUAAUGACAAUCUUGGCCAUGACUUCUGCAGGGAAUGCAGGAGAUAGAUCAUGGCUGACGGAACCUUCGCAGUUCUGAUGCUCAUCCUCGGGAUCACCGAUAUGAGCCGGAAUUAUUGCGGAACGGACACAGGCUGCCUCGGCAAGACGCCGGAUCAGGCGAGGCUGUCCUUCUCUGCGGGGGAGGUUCUGGAACGGCAGGCCGAAGCGGCACCGGAAAUUUACCUGCGCUAUGACCUUGGUCACAAGCGGGGGCCUUUCCAGCCGGCCUUUGGCGUGUCUGUCGGAGAAGGGGGCGAGACAUGGGUGGGCUUCGGCAACACCUAUGAGAUCGAUCUCGGCACGCGGUUCUAUGCGGAGCUGCAUUCGAUGCCGGGGCUCUACUUCGACAAUGGCGGCUUUGACCUUGGUGGACCCAUCGCGUUCCGCUCCGGUCUUGAGCUGGGAUACGAGAACCGAAGCGGUUGGCGCUAUGCCUUCAGCUACGAUCAUCGCUCGAACGCGGGAAUUUACGACGACAAUCCCGGGAUCGAGACGGUGCAGUUCAAGGUGAGUAUACCUCUUAGAUAGCCGCAUCUUCCGGGCGCAAAACCGGUUCCCACUUAUGCUGAAGACGCGCGCGUCUCUGGCGGGAACCCGGUCGCAAUCAGCGCGCCGGAAGCAACACUGCGUCACACCCAAGCGCUCAAGUAGCGAAGCGGUAGCGCAUCAAAGAUGUCAUUAGUGUCCAGUCUUGUGACGGCGUACCUUUUGUAUAAUGGGUCAUCGACUUGGUCUAUCUAGCAAGCUUAAGCCGUUAGGUGUAGGCGCAGCGAAAGCGAGUCUUAAUAGGGCGUCGAGUUAGAUGGAUCAGACCCGAAACCGAGUGAUCUAGGCAUGGCCAGGUUGAAGGUUGGGUAACACCAACUGGAGGACCGAACCCACAUCCGUUGAAAAGGAUCGGGAUGAGCUGUGCCUAGGGGUGAAAGGCCAAUCAAACUCGGAGAUAGCUGGUUCUCUGCGAAAUCUAUUUAGGUAGAGCGUCAUCCGAAUACCCCGGGGGGUAGAGCACUGGAUGGGUAAUGGGGCCCCACAGGCUUACUGAUCCUAACCAAACUCCGAAUACCCGGGAGUACUAGAUGGCAGACACACUGCGGAUGCUAACGUCCGUAGUGGAGAGGGAAACAACCCUGACCUACAGCUAAGGCCCCCAAUUCGUGGCUAAGUGGGAAAGCAGGUGGGACGACCAAAACAACCAGGAGGUUGGCUUAGAAGCAGCCAUCCUUUAAAGAUAGCGUAACAGCUCACUGGUCUAAAUAAGUUGUCCUGCGGCGAAGAUGUAACGGGGCUCAAGCCACGAGCCGAAGCUUAGGAUGCCGUAAGGCAUGGUAGCAGAGCGUAGUGUGACAUAGGAUUUAUCCUCUUUUGCUCCCUUCGGGGAUCAUAGGAGGCAUAAAUCCUUUCUGUGAAGCCGGCCUGUGAGGGAUCCGGUGGAGAGAUCACUAGCGAGAAUGAUGACAUGAGUAGCGACAAAGAGUGUGAGAGACACUCUCGCCGAAAGUCCAAGGGUUCCUGCUUAAAGCUAAUCUGAGCAGGGUAAGCCGACCCCUAAGGCGAGGCCGAAAGGCGUAGUCGAUGGGAACCAGGUUAAUAUUCCUGGGCCAGAUGGAAGUGACGGAUCAUGAAGAUUGUCAGCCCUUAUUGGAUUGGGUUGGCCGUUAAUUGGUUCCUGGAAAUAGCUCCAUCAUGAGAUCGUACCCUAAACCGACACAGGUGGACUGGUAGAGAAUACCAAGGCGCUUGAGAGAACGAUGUUGAAGGAACUCGGCAAAAUACCUCCGUAAGUUCGCGAGAAGGAGGCCCGGUUCCUAGGCAACUAGGGGCUGGGGGCACAAACCAGGGGGUGGCGACUGUUUACUAAAAACACAGGGCUCUGCGAAGUCGCAAGACGACGUAUAGGGUCUGACGCCUGCCCGGUGCCUGAAGGUUAAAAGGAGGGGUGCAAGCUCCGAAUUGAAGCCCAGGUAAACGGCGGCCGUAACUAUAACGGUCCUAAGGUAGCGAAAUUCCUUGUCGGGUAAGUUCCGACCUGCACGAAUGGCGUAACGACUUCCCCGCUGUCUCCAACAUCGACUCAGCGAAAUUGAAUUGCCUGUCAAGAUGCAGGCUUCCCGCGGUUAGACGGAAAGACCCCGUGCACCUUCACUACAGCUUCGCACUGGCAUCAGGCACAACAUGUGCAGGAUAGGUGGUAGGCUUUGAAGCGCAAACGCCAGUUUGCGUGGAGCCAUCCUUGAGAUACCACCCUUGUUCUGCUUGAUGUCUAACCGCGGUCCGUUAUCCGGAUCCGGGACCCUGCGUGGCGGGUAGUUUGACUGGGGCGGUCGCCUCCUAAAGCGUAACGGAGGCGCGCGAAGGUUGGCUCAGAGCGGUCGGAAAUCGCUCGUUGAGUGCAAUGGCAGAAGCCAGCCUGACUGCGAGACUGACAAGUCGAGCAGAGACGAAAGUCGGCCAUAGUGAUCCGGUGGUCCCAAGUGGGAGGGCCAUCGCUCAACGGAUAAAAGGUACGCCGGGGAUAACAGGCUGAUACUGCCCAAGAGUCCAUAUCGACGGCAGUGUUUGGCACCUCGAUGUCGGCUCAUCUCAUCCUGGGGCUGGAGCAGGUCCCAAGGGUAUGGCUGUUCGCCAUUUAAAGAGGUACGUGAGCUGGGUUUAGAACGUCGUGAGACAGUUCGGUCCCUAUCUGCCGUGGGUGUAGGAUACUUGAGAGGAGUUGCCCCUAGUACGAGAGGACCGGGGUGAACGAUCCACUGGUGGACCUGUUGUUGCGCCAGCAGCAGUGCAGGGUAGCUAUGAUCGGACAGGAUAACCGCUGAAGGCAUCUAAGCGGGAAGCCCCCCUCAAAACAAGGUAUCCCUGAGGGCCGUGGAAGACCACCACGUCGAUAGGCCGGAGAUGUAAGCACAGCAAUGUGUUCAGUUGACCGGUACUAAUGGCCCGAUAGGCUUGAUUUG